rnacentral:rRNA from 1 species
UACAGAGGGGGCAAGCGUUGUUCGGAAUUACUGGGCGUAAAGGGCGCGUAGGCGGCCGCCUAAGUCAGACGUGAAAUCCCUCGGCUCAACCGGGGAACUGCGUCUGAUACUGGGUGGCUUGAAUUCGGGAGAGGGAUGCGGAAUUCCAGGUGUAGCGGUGAAAUGCGUAGAUAUCAGGAGGAACACCGGUGGUGUAGACGGCUUUCUGGACCGUAACUGACGCUGAGACACGAAAGCGUGGGUAGCAAACAGG